AGCAACCUGAAAUGUGCGAUAAUUCCUGUUGUUUUGAACCUACAGAUACUUUAAACGGGAUUCCUACAUUUCCUUGUGGCUGUCAAGCCCUCACUUCUAAAAGCGCAGCGUAUAGCUGCUAUUGUUUAGAUGGAUUGGAAGGGAAGGCAAAAGCACAGGCUGCGGUUACCCACCUAGCAUUGCUAGGAGUCAAAAGACAGGAACCGGCAUUUUGGGGUAUAC
rnacentral:other from 1 species